UCGAGGAUUUUUCUCAAUGGGGGAAACCCUGAAGGAGCGACGCCGCGUGAGGGAUGAAGGUCUUCGGAUUGUAAACCUCUGUCAUCUGGGAACAAUGCGCUCCACCUAACACGUGGAUCGUUGAUAGUACCGGAAGAGGAAGCAGUGGCUAACUCUGUGCCAGCAGCCGCGGUAAUACAGAGACUGCAAGCGUUGUUCGGAUUCAUUGGGCGUAAAGGGUGCGCAGGCGGUGCGCUAAGUCGGAUGUGAAAUCUCACAGCCUAACUGUGAUAGGUCAUUCGAAACUGGCGUGCUAGAGGACUGGAGAGGAGACUGGAAUAGUCGGUGUAGCGGUGAAAUGCGUAGAGAUCGACUAGAACACCGGUGGCGAAGGCGGGUCUCUGGACAGUUCCUGACGCUCAGGCACGAAAGCCAGGGGAGCAAACGGGAUUAGAUACCCCUGUAGUCC
rnacentral:rRNA from 1 species